GAGCAAAUCAUAUCAGUCAAAGUCCACCGUUCGAUCCCUCUCCAUGACACGUGUCGUCAUCCGUCUCCGGCUUCCAACUUGGGAAGAGGUGGGAAACACCUCCGGCGAAGGAGGAGAGAUCUCUGGAGCCCAAAUAGUUGGGUCGUUCGGGGUUACCACCGGCUUGUGAAUUCUGUUGAUGCUCUGGAGCUCCACUUUCAGAGGCUUUCCGACGAACAGGUUAUCUGCUUUGCUUUAUCGUGGAGAAAGGAAAAUAAUGUGAUGGAAUCGGAGACAAGCUGAGGGGAAGGACUGCGGAAUUCCGUCCUCAGAAUCUCAGAUGAGUCAACGGGAAACGCUUUCUGAUAUGCAGGCAGGUUCUGUUAUGUUUUCUGUGUUCAUGGCUUGGUGCGAUAAGAUCAUUGGUGGAGCUGUGUUCCAUGGUGGGUGCAUAGUGGAGAUGAAGACGGGUGAAGGAAAGAUGCUUGUUUUGAUGCUAGCUGCAUAUCUCAAUGCACUCACAGGAAAUGGAGUUCAUGGUGUACUUGCAGCCAAUGGAUUCUUCGAUAUGUGUUUACAGAAAAUCUUGAGUCUUGAGGCAAUGAGGUAUGUACAAGUCCCUUAUUGCACACUUGAUUGCAUAAAAGGAUUUUUGUUGUUAAGAUGUUUAGGAUGUUCUUUUGAAUUUUUGUUUUAUGAUGAAAAAUUUCAGCCAAUUGUAAUGCAAUUAUUUAGCCAGUAAUAUUUUCUCUCUGCUCUUCUAUUAGUGAGUAUAAAUGCCUGAUAGUGUAACUUCAAUAUCUCAUGGAAUUUCAAUACUUCUCUUAGUUAUAUAUUGUGUUAAUGUAUUUAGCACAGUUGCUGCAUCAAUCAGAUAUGGACGCAGUUAAAAAAACACAAUGUCUUGAUAACUGCUGAAUCAAGUAUUUGUUCUCAUUUUAAAGCAUUAAAUAGUCUCCACACUAUCUGUUGUGUUUAUGAUAAAUCUGCACAGUGUUCUCAGAGUUCAACAAAUAUUCUUACAAGUUAUAAAUGUAAUAAGUGCAUCGAUAUUUUGUCAUUGGAACAGAACUUUUAUUUUGUUAAAAGAAUUCUAUCUUCCCUGCAACUUUAUAACAUACAUCUGUAAUAAAUGUUUCACUCUGUUUAGUUGUCAAAAGCAACUAAUAAUAAUAAUAAUGAUAGUGGUCCUUUGAAGUUAACGUAGGACGAGAUGCAAAUCUGUGUCUCAUGUUAACCUAGUAAGGUCUAUGUUCUAGAAUGUAUCGACCUGUUUUAUUUAAUAAUGAUGUAUAAAGUAGUGUAUCAGAAGUUAUAGUUUUUUUUUUGAUUGUGUCCAGAUUAUACUGUAAUCAUUGUUAUUUUGAUCAUAAGAUCUUCUGUAUUCCUGGCAAUCAAAUUAUUCUGUUUACAAUGGUGAUUAUUUAUGAUUACUUGGGUCAGAGUCAUGGUGAAUGGAUGGCCGCAUUCAUCGUUUUCUUGGUCUUUCGGUGGAUCUCAUACAGGUUCUAAACUUUUGAAUUUUUCUAUUUUAGUUUUGACUUCUAACCUAAAGCCACAUCCAUUAUAUUCAUUGAGCUUUUACCUAGAUUACAUUAUGUUGGAAAGUACCUAUUUAUUGGCCUUGUUUUGAUGUUACUUGCAUUCAUAGUGGGACAUGACAGCUGAUGAGCGCAGAUCCAACUAUAGCUGUGACAUAGCAUACACUAACUCCUUGGUAAAUUGCUAAACACAUAGUUCUUUCUUACCAUUGCUUUUAAUCUAUUUUCAAAUUGCUAAUAGAGAGAAUUUUGAUCAUAUCUGUAUGUUGCGAUCAUCCUGCCUUGUGGUCUUUUAGAACUCGGGAAGGCUCGAUUUGUUGGUACUUUCUGCUUAAAGUAGAGGUCAUUGAUUUAACUAGGCUUUUUUACCUUAGAAAUAAUAGUGCUUGACUUCAGUUGGAGUCCAGGCAAUGGAUUAAAUUCUUUCUUCGCAACUGUACAUCUCCUGCAGGAACUUGGCUGUGAUUACUUCCAGGAUAGUCUAUCUGGAAACAGAGAGAAGCUUUUUAUGAAAUGUUGCAUUUUCAAGCAUCAUAUAAGUUAUAAUUCUUUCUUUCUAUGAUUACUAGCAAACCAGUUAAUAUAAAACAGGGCAAAGCCAUGCCAUUUUGCAGUUGCAGAUGAAAUCGACUCAGCCAUUAUUGAUGAGGUAGGGAACCCAUUAUUGAUCAGUGGUGAGGUAAUCCAGCAUUAUGCUGUUGCACUUCCUUUUUUCUCUGUACCAUGUCACUUUUAUUAUUAGUGAUUUAAGCAUGUCAUCAUUAGUAGCACUUUUUGUUCUAUCAGUUUGCCACUAGGAUUGUAGGAUGCUGCAUGAUAUCCAGUUGCUGCCAAAGUAGCUGAACCAAUUGUACAAGGGAUAAUUCUGUGGAUUUGACUGAGGAAUGAGUUGCUCUUGCUGAGAUGGUUCUUGAAGCCGAUUAUUUAUGGGAUGAAAAUGAUCCGUGGGCAAGGUGCAAGAUUUCUUUCUUUAAUUUCAUUUAGCUAUGUGUUGAUGUUAUGGUUCCUUUGAUUGCUACAACUACAAAUUGCACUCUGGAUAUUCUUUUUGCAUUCUUUUAGGUAAACUGAUAAAAUGAGUCCCUGCUCAGAAAUCACUAUCUAAGUUUGACCUCUGAUAACUAUUCUAUUUUAUUAUUUUCUUAUCAGUCAUGAAUGUUGUGCAUAAUGAGACGCACAUACACACACCAAAAAAACUUAAAAAUAUUUUAUUUGCUUUGUCAUUUUCUUAAUAGUCAAGAAUGUCACAUAAACACACAUGAAAAAAAUCGCAUACACACACAUGAAAGAACUAAGGUGUUUUAUUCUGUUUUGUCAUUUCCUUAUGUCAUAAAUGUUGCAGCCAUAUAUAGACAUAUGAAAAAACUUAAAAGUACUUCAUUCUGUUUUAUCAUUUUCUUAUUAGUCAUUAAUGUCGUCCACACGCAUGCAUGAAAAGAUGUAAAAGUAUUUUAUUCUGUUUUUCCAUGUUGUUAUUAGUUAUUAAUGUAGGGAUAUACACAUGAAAAAACUUAGAAGUAUUUUGUUCUGUUUUGUCAUUUUCUUAUUAGUCAUGAAUGUUGACACGCAGAUAUAUGAGAAAACUUGAAAGUAUUUUAUUCUGUGUUGUCAUUUUCUUAUGAGUCAUGAAUGUCAAUAUGUGGCAAUUAUGUCUUUAUCAAUAUCUUGGUCUUUUGCUUCUCUUAUUUAUCUGUAAGAAGAUGCUUCUGUUUUUACUAUUUCACAAAAUUCUUUCAUGUCAUUGUGGAAUAUAAGUAUCUUUUGUUGCUUCUGCAUUCACUGGGGUGCCAUUUCAGUCUCAAUCCACAUUCACUUGGGCUGGCAUGGUUGUCAGGUGGUUCUUUCUUGGGAUUUUCAAUAUUCUGCAAGGCCCAUCUGAUGUGCUUGCCUAGUUAAAUUUAGCCUUCAAAGUAGCAUCUUGUUAUCAAUUUAUCACAGAUGGCUGACUUUACACCAAGAUAGUUGAUUACUUAGUUGAUACUAAUGACACUGGACUGUAAGUUUCAUGAUUGUAGUAGAUAAUUUUGUAAAUAUUGCAGUUAAGUCUCAGAAAGAAUGAAGUGGGCUUACUGUUUUCCAUGGUCUUUCUGGAUUGUUCGAUUCGAAAGCAGAUGAAGGAUGGAAUGCUAAGUUGUCUUUCCCUUUCCUCGAGUCAAGCAGAUAAUCCUCCCAAGUUGCCACAAACAAGGUUGAAAUGUUCAUGGGAAAUUAUUAUUUAAUAUCAUGGUUAAGCAUUUUGCAAACCUGGCAACAUGUGAAAAACUAAAAAUUCAAGUAAGUGGACUUUUCGGUGGGAAGGUUGGCAUAAUUGAUGUGUAUGUAUUCAACUUAUGUGGAAUUUUGCACGUACUGCAAUUAUGCAAGCUUUGGUUGUCAAAUAUGUUCUCUGUU